GAACGAAGAGUUUGAUCCUGGCUCAGGAUGAACGCUGGCGGCGUGCUUAACACAUGCAAGUCGAACGGGAAGCGUAUCUUCGGAUGGG
rnacentral:rRNA from 1 species